rnacentral:rRNA from 1 species
GACGAACGCUGGCGGCGUGCUUAACACAUGCAAGUCGAACGAAGUGGCGAACGGGUGAGUAACGCGUAUUCAACCUGCCCUUCAGAGGGGGACAACAGUGGGAAACGACUGAUAAUACCACAUACGGCAUGAGGGCAUUUCGUCUGAUUAGCUGGUUAGAGGGGUAUCGACCGCACAAGGCCAUGAUCAGUAGCCGGUCUGAGACGAUGAGCGGCCACAUUGGGACUGAGUGAGGGCGCAGAACGCCACGGGAGGCAGCAGUGGGGAAUCUUCGGGAAUGGACGACAGUCUGACGAAGCAACGCGCCGUGAGUGAUGACGGCCUUCGGGUUGUAAAGCUUUGUUAAUCUGGACGCGGUACCGGAAUAGAAAGCCACGGCUAACUACGUGCCAGCCGCCGCGGUAAUAC